GAUGAACGCUGGCGGCGUGCUUAACACAUGCAAGUCGAACGGGAAACCUAUUAUUGAAGCUUCGGCAGAUUUAGUUUGUUUCUAGUGGCGGACGGGUGAGUAACGCGUGGGUAACCUGCCCUAUACAGGGGGAUAACAACCAGAAAUGGUUGCUAAUACCGCAUAAGCGCACAGGAACGCAUGGUCCGGUGUGAAAAACUCCGGUGGUAUAGGAUGGACCCGCGUUGGAUUAGCUAGUUGGCAGGGUAACGGCCAACCAAGGCGACGAUCCAUAGCCGGCCUGAGAGGGUGAACGGCCACAUUGGGACUGAGACACGGCCCAGACUCCUACGGGAGGCAGCAGUGGGGAAUAUUGCACAAUGGGGGAAACCCUGAUGCAGCGACGCCGCGUGAAGGAAGAAGUAUCUCGGUAUGUAAACUUCUAUCAGCAGGGAAGAUAGUGACGGUACCUGACUAAGAAGCCCUGGCUAACUACGUGCCAGCAGCCGCAGUAA
rnacentral:rRNA from 1 species